GAUGAAGAACGUAGCGAAAUGCGAUAAGUAAUGCGAAUUGCAGAAUUCAGUGAGUCAUCGAAUCUUUGAACGCACAUUGCGCCCCCUGGUAUUCUGGGGGGCAUGCCUGUCCGAGCGUCAUUGCUGCCCUCAAGCACGGCUUGUGUGUUGGGCCUCCGUCCUCCUCCCGGGGGACGGGCCCGAAAGGCAGCGGCGGCACCGCGUCCGGUCCUCGAGCGUAUGGGGCUUCGUCACCCGCUCUUGUAGGCCCGGCCGGCGCUUGCCGACACAUCAAUCUUUUUUCCAGGUUGACCUCGGAUCAGGUAGGGAUACCCGCUGAACUUAAGCAUAUCAAUAAGCGGAGGA
rnacentral:misc_RNA from 1 species